GAUGAACGCUGGCGGCGUGCCUAAUACAUGCAAGUCGAGCGAACGGACGAGAAGCUUGCUUCUCUGAUGUUAGCGGCGGACGGGUGAGUAACACGUGGAUAACCUACCUAUAAGACUGGGAUAACUUCGGGAAACCGGAGCUAAUACCGGAUAAUAUUUUGAACCGCAUGGUUCAAAAGUGAAAGACGGUCUUGCUGUCACUUAUAGAUGGAUCCGCGCUGCAUUAGCUAGUUGGUAAGGUAACGGCUUACCAAGGCAACGAUGGAUAGCCGACCUGAGAGGGUGACCGGCACCACUGGAACGGGGACACGGUCCAGACUCCUACGGGAGGAAGCAGUAGGGAAUUUGGCGCAAUGGGCGAAAGCCUGACGGAGCAACGCCGCGUGAGUGAUGAAGGUCUUCGGAUCGUAAAACUCUGUUAUUAGGGAAGAACAUAUGUGUAAGUAACUGUGCACAUCUUGACGGUACCUAAUCAGAAAGCCACGGCUAACUCCGUG
rnacentral:rRNA from 1 species